GAUGAACGCUGGCGGCGUGCCUAAUACAUGCAAGUCGAGCGAACGGACGAGAAGCUUGCUUCUCUGAUGUUAGCGGCGGACGGGUGAGUAACACGUGGAUAACCUACCUAUAAGACUGGGAUAACUUCGGUAAACCGGAGCUAAUACCGGAUGAUAUUUUGAACCGCAUGGUUCAAAAGUGAAAGACGGUCUUGCUGUCACUUAUAGAUGGAUCCGCCCUGCAUUAGCUAGUUGGUAAGGUAACGGCUUACCAAGGCAACGAUGCAUAGCCGACCUGAGAGGGUGAUCGGCCACACUGGAACUGAGACACGGUCCAGACUCCUACGGGAGGCAGCAGUAGGGAAUCUUCCGCAAUGGGCGAAAGCCUGACGGAGCAACGCCGCGUGAGUGAUGAAGGUCUUCGGAUCGUAAAACUCUGUUAUUAGGGAAGAACAUAUGUGUAAGUAACUGUGCACAUCUUGACGGUACCUAAUCAGAAAGCCACGGCUAACUACGUG
rnacentral:rRNA from 1 species